rnacentral:misc_RNA from 1 species
GCCAAUUUUAAUAAAUUUAUUAGCAAGGAACUAAAAUUUCAGACAGUAGCCCACUUUUGCUUGGAACACACUAUAAUAUAUAAGCACUUUUUUCUCUUUCCCCUGGGCACUACAAACAUCUAUAAUUGACAAAAUAGAAACGCAGACAAGGAGAGAGUCUGAGACAUAACAAAUUGUGCCAUCUUCCUUGUCUGUACCAUCACUGCCAAUGCCUUGACACUUUUUAUUGUUUAAUCAGGAGAAAACAUGUUAUAAUUUCCGGAACCGAAAAAGCAAAAGCCUUCAAGAGAACACAUAUAGUAAUACGGACUAUGAUGAAUUGGGGGAGUUGAAACUACAAAGCAUAAAAAUACAGUUAAGAAAGCUGCAAAAGCCAAAAUUUAAGCAAUAAAAUAAAGAGAUGGGAUUCUUAAAGUAGUGAUCUUUAGGCCUAUUGGAGAGUUUUGAAACUAAGAUUUCCAUUUCAUAUUCAAGCUAUGGAAGCAUCCCAUGAUUGGAUUAACUAGAAGAAAUGAUUAAUGCUAGUAAGAAUCAAACCCAAACAGAACUUUUCACAAACAGGUUUACUACAAUACCUGAUUUAACAAAAAGACGAGACUUUCCACUGGAUUUUCACCUCUAACACUCAUAAGUCAAACCCUAAUCAGUUAAAAUCUAGAUCUCUAAUUAAAAUAAAAAAAAACUAAAAAUAAAGACAUAAUAGAACACAACAACCCCAAUCUAUGCCCUCUCACCCCUAAUCCUUCUUGCCAACUGAAUAUCCUUGGGCAUAAUAGUAACCCUCUUAGCAUGAAUAGCACACAGAUUAGUAUCCUCAAACAACCCAACCAAAUAUGCUUCAGCUGCUUCCUGUAAGGCUGCAACAGCACUGCUUUGGAAUCUCAGAUCAGUCUUGAAAUCUUGAGCGAUUUCCCUCACCAAUCUCUGGAAUGGCAGCUUCCUGAUCAAGAGCUCUGUGCUCUUUUGAUACUUCCUGAUUUCUCUCAGGGCAACAGUUCCAGGCCUAAACCUGUGCGGCUUCUUCACACCACCGGUUGCCGGAGCUGAUUUCCUCGCUGCCUUGGUGGCCAACUGCUUCCUUGGGGCCUUGCCUCCUGUAGAUUUUCUAGCGGUUUGCUUUGUGCGAGCCAUUGGAACGAAAAAGUGAUUGUUUGUUUGGCUAGAAAAUGAAUGAAAUAAUAGAAGGAAAAA